GCGUCAUUAGCUCAGUUGGUAGAGCAUCUGACUCUUAAUCAGGAGGUCACAGGUUCGACCCCUGUAUGACGCACCA
rnacentral:tRNA from 50 species